GCUCCAUAUAUAAAGUAUUUUACUUUUAUUAGAAAU
rnacentral:tRNA from 1 species